CACUCUAGAGAGACUGCCAGGGAUAACCUGGAGGACGGUGUGGAUGACGUCAAAUCAUCAUGCACCUUAUGCUUAGGGCUACACACGUGCUACAAUGGGUAGUACAGAGGGUUGCCAAGCCGUAAGGUGGAGCUAAUCCCUUAAAGCUACUCUCAGUUCGGAUUGUAGGCUGAAACUCGCCUACAUGAAGCUGGAGUUACUAGUAAUCGCAGAUCAGAAUGCUGCGGUGAAUGCGUUCCCGGGUCUUGUACACACCGCCCGUCACACCACGGGAGUUGGAGACGCCCGAAGCCGAUUAUCUAACCUUUUGGAAGAAGUCGUCGAAGGUGGAAUCAAUAACUGGGGUGAAGUCGUAACAAGGUAGCCGUAUCGGAAGGUGCGGCUGGAUCACCUCCU
rnacentral:rRNA from 1 species